rnacentral:rRNA from 1 species
GACGAACGCUGGCGGCGUGCUUAACACAUGCAAGUCGAACGGAAAGGCCUGCUUUCCCUUGUGGAUUGCGGGUACUCGAGUGGCGAACGGGUGAGUAACACGUGAGUGAUCUGCCCCCAACUUGGGUAUAAGCCUGGGAAACUGGGUCUAAUUCCCGAUAGGACUGCAGGGUGGUGCCUGUGGUGGAAAACGAUUUUCUAGUGGUUGGGGAUGAGCUCGCGGCCUAUCAGCUUGUUGGUGGGGUAAUGGCCUACCAAGGCGGCGACGGGUAGCCGGCCUGAGAGGGUGGACGGCCACAUUGGGACUGAGAUACGGCCCAGACUCCUACGGGAGGCAGCAGUGGGGAAUAUUGCACAAUGGGCGGAAGCCUGAUGCAGCGACGCCGCGUGGGGGAUGACGGCCUUCGGGUUGUAAACUCCUUUCGACCGCGAGGAAGCCACCUGGUUGGAGGGGUGGUGACGGUAGUGGUAGAAGAAGCACCGGCUAACUACGUG